rnacentral:lncRNA from 1 species
CUCUCCAUUAAUUCCUCCCUGGCAUGUUCAGGAUCUUGGCCUCACUCCAGGCUCAGGCUUUUUCUCUGUCUUCAGCUUUCUUUUUGUUUUCAAAUUAUUUUUUAUCUAGAUCAAUUUUCCAUAAUGUUUUCAACUUAUCUAGCAUGAAUUGAAAUCUGGUCCCCAACUAUAAAUCUAUGUGAUGACAAUCUUCAAUAUAUGUCCAGACUCUAUGUGAAUAUGGAGGAUGAUAGAGAAAGGGAAGGCAGUACUGCUAGUCUAUAGGGCUAAAUGUAGAAUGGGCUGAGGAGGGGAGCUCAUGACAAUUUUCAUCUGCUGCUGCUUUUUUGGCCAUCUUAACUUCAUCGGUGAAGCUUAUUCCAGAUUCAAAGGUCAACUGCUUCCAACUAAACCUUUGAAUUCAUCAUUCUUCUCAUAGACAUUUUGCACUGUAUUAAAGAGAUCCUCAACAUUUUCCGCUUCCCAAGUCAGCAUCACUUUCAGAGUUUUGUCUCCAGUGUGAGAACAGACAAAUACACCAGUCCCUGGACUGAUACCUGAAAAAAGAGGAGAUAAGCAAGAAGGCUCACCAGAUUCUCGUACUUUGGUAUUAAACUAGGCGUCCAGGAUAUUAAGAAUUCAAGGAGAUUGGAACCACCUGGACCAUCUGGAUAUCCCACAGAAGACCACACUGACCCAUUAUUACACUGAUGAUAUCAUGCUGAUUGGGCAAGAGAAGCAAGAGGAAGGAAGGCCCACAGAAGUUGCUGUGUGAACAUGUGUGGAGAUGUGAAUCCAUAUAGCUCAAAGGGUGGACUGUGACACCUAUGAGAAUUCUCAGAAGGCACAGGCAGUGGAAUUCAGAACUGGGUAAGUACAAUAUCAAUACUGGGAGCAAAAUUUCCUUUUUGUGUUCUUAAGACAGUAAAAUACAUAAAAUAAACCCCCUCUUCCCCCCACAAAAGUGCUAAAUGGAAUUUUCCCUCAAUGGAAGCUGAGACAGUUGAUUUUCAGAAAUUGAAGUAAUUCAGCAUUACUAUGCUGUUAAGCCUGUCAGGGAAUCAGAGCCCUCUAUUGUGAUUCAUAUUUCCUGGAAAUGCCCAUGG